UUGUGUGUUAGUGGAACGGUCUGGAAAGUCCGACGGUACAGGGUGAUAGUCCCGUACACCAAAAUGCACAGGUUGUGAACUCGAAGAGUAGGGCGGGACACGUGGUAUCCUGUCUGAAUAUGGGGGGACCAUCCUCCAAGGCUAAAUACUCCUGACUGACCGAUAGUGAACCAGUACCGUGAGGGAAAGGCGAAAAGAACCCCGGCGAGGGGAGUGAAAAAGAACCUGAAACCGUGU
rnacentral:rRNA from 1 species